AUUGAACGCUGGCGGCAUGCCUUACACAUGCAAGUCGAACGGCAGCACGGGAGCAAUCCUGGUGGCGAGUGGCGAACGGGUGAGUAAUAUAUCGGAACGUGCCCAGUAGUGGGGGAUAACGCAGCGAAAGCUGGGCUAAAACCGCAUACGACCUACGGAUGAAAUGGGGGGAUCGCAAGACCUCGCGCGAUGGGAGCGGCCGAUAUCAGAUUAGCUAGUUGGUGAGGUAAAGGCUCAACAAGGCGACGAACUGUAGCCGGUCUGGGAGGACGACCAGCCACACUGGAACUGAGACACGGUCCAGACUCCUACGGGAGGCAGCAGUGGGGAAUUUUGGACAAUGGGCGAAAGCCUGAUCCAGCAAUGCCGCGUGCAGGAUGAAGGCCUUCGGGUUGUAAACUGCUUUUGUACGGAACGAAACGGUGAGCUCUAAUACAGUUUGCUAAUGACGGUACCGUAAGAAUAAGCACCGGCUAACUACGUGCCAGCAGCCGCAGUAA
rnacentral:rRNA from 1 species